rnacentral:rRNA from 1 species
CCUACGGGUGGCAGCAGUGAGGAAUAUUGGUCAAUGGACGAGAGUCUGAACCAGCCAAGUAGCGUGAAGGAUGACUGCCCUCUGGGUUGUAAACUUCUUUUAUAUGGGAAUAAAAUGUUCCACGUGUGGGAUUUUGUCUGUACCAUAUUAAUAAGGAUCGGCUAACUCCGUGCCAGCAGCCGCGGUAAUACGGAGGAUCCGAGCGUUAUCCGGAUUUAUUGGGUUUAAAGGGAGCGUAGGUGGAUUGUUAAGUCAGUUGUGAAAGUUUGCGGAUCAACCGUAAAAUUGCAGUGGAAACUGGCAGUCUUGAGUACAGUAGAGGUGGGCGGAAUUCGUGGUGUAGCGGUGAAAUGCUUAGAUAUCACGAAGAACUCCGAUUGCGAAGGCAGUUCACUGGACUGCAACUGACACUGAGGCUCGAAAGUGUGGGUAUCAAACAGGAUUAGAUACCCCGGUAGUC